rnacentral:rRNA from 1 species
GACGGAGGGUGCUAGCGUUGUUCGGAAUUACUGGGCGUAAAGGGCGCGUAGGCGGCCUGGUCAGUCGGAUGUGAAAGCCCGGGGCUCAACCCCGGAACGGCAUCCGAGACGGCCAGGCUGGAGACCGGGAGAGGAGGGUGGAAUAGCCAGUGUAGAGGUGAAAUUCGUAGAUAUUGGCUGGAACACCGGUGGCGAAAGCGGCUCUCUGGCCCGGGUCUGACGCUGAGGCGCGAAAGCGUGGGGAGCAAACAGGAUUAGAAACCCCCGUAGUCC